GAGUUCUAUAACUCCCAAACCCAUGUGAACAUACUUAACGUUGCCUCGGCAGGUCGCGCCUACCUUGUAGCACCCUACCCUGUAGGGCCUACCCGGGAGGUGCGGGUAAGCCUGCCGGCGGCCCACCAAACUCUGUUUGAUAUUGAAUUCUGAACAUAUAACUAAAUAAGUUAAAACUUUCAACAACGGAUCUCUUGGUUCUGGCAUCGAUGAAGAACGCAGCGAAAUGCGAUAAGUAAUGUGAAUUGCAGAAUUCAGUGAAUCAUCGAAUCUUUGAACGCAUAUUGCGCCCAUUAGUAUUCUAGUGGGCAGGACCGUUCGAGCGUCAUUUCGACCCUUAAGCCUUGGUUGCUUAGUGUUGGGAGCCUACGGGAACGUAGCUCCUCAAAGUUAGUGGCGGAGUUGGUUCACACUCUAGACGUAGUAAUUCUUUAUCUCGCCUAUUAGUUGGACUGAUCCCCUGCCGUAAAACCCCAACUUCUAAAGGUUGACCUCGAAUCGGUUCAGACAAACUCGCUAAAUUGAAGCAUCUUAGUCAGCGGA
rnacentral:misc_RNA from 1 species